rnacentral:rRNA from 1 species
GUGCCAGCCGCCGCGGUAAUACCGGCAGCUCGAGUGAUGUCCAAUAUUAUUGGGCCUAAAGCGUCCGUAGCUGGCCGCGCAAGUCCGUCGGGAAAUCCACUCGCUUAACGAGUGGGCGUCCGGCGGAAACUGUGCGGCUUGGGACCGGAAGAUCCAAGGGGUACGUCCGGGGUAGGAGUGAAAUCCCGUAAUCCUGGACGGACCACCGAUGGCGAAAGCACCUGGGAAGGACGGAUCCGACAGUGAGGGACGGAAGCUAGGGUCUCGAACCGGAUUAGAAACCCGUGUAGUCC